GCCUCAGUUCGGGUGAGAUUACCCCCAUGAUUUAAGCAUAUCAAUAUGGGGAGGAAAAGAAACUAAC
rnacentral:rRNA from 1 species